CCUACGGGGGGCUGCAGUAACGAAUCUUCCGCAAUGCACGAAAGUGUGACGGAGCGACGCCGCGUGUGGGACGAAGUUCUUCGGAAUGUAAACCACUGUCAGGGGUUAGAAAGUUCUGAUCAACCCCAGAGGAAGGCACGGCUAACUCUGUGCCAGCAGCCGCGGUAAGACAGAGGUGCCAAGCGUUAGGCGGAAUCACUGGGCUUAAAGCGUGUGUAGGCGGACUUGUAAGUACCUUGUGAAAUCCCACGGCUCACCCGUGGAACUGCUCGGUAUACUGCGAGUCUUGAGCCACUUAGGGGCUGUCGGAACAGACGGUGGAGCGGUGAAAUGCGUAGAUAUCGUCUGGAACGCCAACGGUGAAAACAGACAGCUGGGAGUGUGCUGACGCUGAGACACGAAAGCCAGGGGAGCGAACGGGAUUAGAUACCCUAGUAGUC
rnacentral:rRNA from 1 species